rnacentral:rRNA from 1 species
ACGGGGCCCGCACAAGCGGUGGAGCAUGUGGUUAAUUCGAAGCAACGCGAAGAACCUUACCAGGUCUUGACAUCCCUGACAACCCGAGAGAUCGGGCGGUUCCCCCUUCGGGGGGACAGGGUGACAGGUGGUGCAUGGUUGUCGUCAGCUCGUGUCGUGAGAUGUUGGGUUAAGUCCCGUAACGAGCGCAACCCUCGACCUUAGUUGCCAGCAUUCAGUUGGGCACUCUAAGGUGACUGCCGGCUAAAAGUCGGAGGAAGGUGGGGAUGACGUCAAAUCAUCAUGCCCCUUAUGACCUGGGCUACACACGUGCUACAAUGGGCGGUACAAAGGGUCGCGAACCCGCGAGGGGGAGCCAAUCCCAAAAAAGCCGCUCUCAGUUCGGAUUGCAGGCUGCAACUCACCUGCAUGAAGCCGGAAUCGCUAGUAAUCGCGGAUCAGCAUGCCGCGGUGAAUACGUUCCCGGGCCUU